GAUAAACGCUGGCGGCGCACAUAAGACAUGCAAGUCGAACGGAAGUCGUUGUAAUGAUGUUGACAUGAACUGAGAACUUGUUCAAUGGGAUUUGAUAUUGACUUACAACAAUGGCUUUAGUGGCGGACUGGUGAGUAACACGUAAGCAACCUGCCUGUUAGAGGGGAAUAACAGCGAGAAAUCGUUGCUAAUACCGCAUAUGCCAUAAUGGAGACAUCUCCAUAGUGGGAAAGGAGCAAUCCGCUAACAGAUGGGCUUGCGCCUGAUUAGUUAGUUGGUGGGGUAACGGCCUACCAAGACGACGAUCAGUAGCCGGACUGAGAGGUUCAACGGCCACAUUGGGACUGAGAUACGGCCCAGACUCC
rnacentral:rRNA from 1 species